rnacentral:rRNA from 1 species
GCCCUGUGAAGGUGAGCAAAUCCCAAAAAUAAACGUACUCAGUUCGGAUUGUAGUCUGCAACUCGACUACAUGAAGCUGGAAUCGCUAGUAAUCGCGGAUCAGAAUGCCGCGGUGAAUACGUUCCCGGGUCUUGUACACACCGCCCGUCACACCAUGGGAGUCGGAAAUGCCCGAAGUCAGUGACCCAACCGAAAGGAGGGAGCUGCCGAAGGCAGGUUCGAUAACUGGGGUGAAGUCGUAACAAGGUACC